CACGGGUGAGUAACACGUAUCCAACCUGCCGUCUACUCUUGGACAGCCUUCUGAAAGGAAGAUUAAUACAAGAUGGCAUCAUGAGUUCACAUGUUCACAUGAUUAAAGGUAUUCCGGUAGACGAUGGGGAUGCGUUCCAUUAGAUAGUAGGCGGGGUAACGGCCCACCUAGUCUUCGAUGGAUAGGGGUUCUGAGAGGAAGGCCCCCCACAUUGGAACUGAGACACGGUCCAA
rnacentral:rRNA from 1 species